rnacentral:rRNA from 1 species
GAAUCGAUGAGUUUGAUCCUGGCUCAGAAUGAACGCUAGCGAAAAGCUUAACACAUGCAAGUCGAAUGCUUUUUUAAGCAUGGCGAACGGGUGAGUAACGCGUAAGAACCUACCAAAAAAUUCUUGGAGAUCAGGAAUAAAGAAAGAUAUGUGUAUCGUUUUUUGAUGGGCUUGCGUAAGAUUAGAUUGUUGGUGGGGAAAUGGCCCACCAAGUCGAUGAUCUUUUACUGGUCUUAGCGGAUGGCCAGUCACACUGGGACUGAGAUACGGCCCAGACUCUCUUUGGAGGCAGCAGUGAGGAAUCUUGGACAAUGGGCGCAAGCUUGAUCCAGCUAUUUCGCGUGGGUGAUGAAGGUUAUUUGGAUCGUAAAACCCUUUCAUGGAGAUGAUUAAAUAAUGCCUUAUCUUCAAAAAGAAGCUCCGGCAAAUUCUGUGCCAGCAGCCGCGGUAAGACAGGAGGAGCAAGUGUUAUUCAGAAUUAUUGGGCGUAAAGGGCAUGUAGGUGGAUAUUUGUUGUUGAUUGUGCCAUUCCAAUUGUUAGCAUUGGGUUUGCAAUCAAUACACUUUAUCUUGAGAU